rfam:Dipodomys ordii ctg_broad_rename0002542, whole genome shotgun sequence.
GGUGGCUCAGUGAUAGAGCAUUUGCCUUGCAUGCAUGAGGCCCUGGGUUCGAUUCCUCAGCACCA